UACGAGGGGGGCAAAUGUUGUUCGGAAUGACUGGGCGUAAAGGGCGCGUAGGCGGCUUGCACCGUCAGAUGUGAAAUUCCUGGGCUUAACCUGGGGGCUGCAUUUGAUACGUGUGGGCUUGAGUGCGGAAGAGGGUCGUGGAAUUCCCAGUGUAGCGGUGAAAUGCGUAGAUAUUGGGAAGAACACCUGAGGCGAAGGCGGGUUGCUGGGCCGACACUGACGCUGAGGCGCGAAAGCCAGGGGAGCAAACGGG
rnacentral:rRNA from 1 species